AUGUGUCUAAAAAUAGGGCUAAUCUUCGUGCAUGAAAAUAAUUAUAAAUACAAGUUUAAGUGUGUGAGGUGUUUGUGUGUUCGAGAAUUUUUGCAGAAAGGAUUAUCGUGCACUGGAAUCAUGAAGGCGGGAUUAUACUAUUAUAUUUUGCUGACGGUAGCUGCUAGUAUUGUAAGGACACGAUCAGACGAACCAGAAGAAAAGCGUAGUAGUAAAAGUGAACAUUUAGAGGACUUUCCACUGGAUGAAAAUGAUCCCUCCAGUGAUUUUUGAGGUACGAAUCGAGACAUGAAAUUAAUUCUCAUUUUUUGAGAACACUUAUUUGGAAUGAAUAUCCUUAUCAAUGUUUUUCGUGCGAGAAGUGAUA
rnacentral:lncRNA from 1 species